GGGGAUUUAGCUCAGCGGCCUAAGUACCUGCCUUGCAAGCAGGUGGUCGCUUCAAUCCCCG
rnacentral:tRNA from 1 species